CGGGAGGCAGCAGUAGUGGGGAAUAUUGCACAAUGGAGGAAACUCUGAUGCAGCAACGCCGCGUGGAGGAUGACACUUUUCGGAGCGUAAACUCCUUUUAUAUAGGAAGAAGAUGACGGUACUAUAUGAAUAAGCGCCGGCUAACUCCGUGCCAGCAGCCGCGGUAAUACGGAGGGCGCAAGCGUUACUCGGAAUCACUGGGCGUAAAGAGCGUGUAGGCGGAUUAAAAAGUCAGAAGUGAAAUCCUAUAGCUUAACUAUAGAACUGCUUCUGAAACUCUUAAUCUAGAAUAUGGGAGAGGUAGAUGGAAUUUCUGGUGUAGGGGUAAAAUCCGUAGAGAUCAGAAGGAAUACCGAUUGCGAAGGCGAUCUACUAGAACAUUAUUGACGCUGAGACGCGAAAGCGUGGGGAGCAAACAGGAUUAGAUACCCCUGUAGUC
rnacentral:rRNA from 1 species